GUGGUUUCAAAAAUUGCUAUUUACAAGCAAACGUCCCGGAAUCAGACGCGAAGAUGGUGCCCGGACAGCUCCUGGAGAACACACCUUGAGAGGGAGAUGCGGGAUGGGGUCGAGGGCCCACAGCUAAGGGCUGAGGCCACCCAGGUCUCUGCGGGGAGGAAGGAGGUGAGUCACAGCGGCGGCGACGCAGAAAGCCGGCAGCUUCGCCGGGCUGGGGGAGCUUCGAAGAAACGCUAUGCUUCCCCCAUCCCGAGGCGGCACCCCGGAACCACUGCUAGCACACGAGGGGGCCACCCGAUCUCGGAUCCGGGAGAUCGCCGACGCCUGGGCUCACAGAACCCGCUGCGGCGCCACAACCCAAACCUGGGGGACCGGGGGAGACAUUUUGGGUGCACCGGCAAAACUCGUCCCCAGGGCUGGGGUCGUCCUGGCAACACGAAGGGCGGUGUGUGCCAGUGUAAAUAACCCGAUCGGGCAACAGGUACACAGCCUCGGUUCCGCAGGAGCCCCUCUCUCUCCGCGAGUCCCGGUGGACAAAAACCCCUGUCCUUUCUCAGCCGCCGACUUGGAACGACUGCACGCAAGGACCGCGGGCCACCGCCACGGUCUCGCCGAAGGGCGCCGGGCAGCUGGGAGCCGGCGACCGAGCGAUGCUGGGCCCUCGGCCUCUGGGGCGUGGGGGAAAGGGAGGACCGAGAGCCCAGCGCCGGCCUUGAAGGGGGUCCCCUCUCGUGGCACCUUGGCGGAGGCAGGACGCAGGACGCAGGACCCUCCGGCCGGAAUGCCGUCGCCGCGUCUCCUCCACCCAAAGGGCCGGCACCGGACACAACUUGCGGAGCACCAGCCGCUGCACGGCCGGCUGCCGCUUCUCCGGGAGCCCCGAACGGCGCCGUCCAUCACAUGCACUGACCCCAUACCACGCGCAAAACAAACACGCCGAGCGUGAAUUGAUAACUUUAUUGAAAAGACAACAAGUGCCCAAAAAUGAGGGUCCGUGAAUUUGCACUUCUCCUGCAUACAUUUAGCGGGCAUUUAGUGAACUGCUCUUGGCGGCGAGCUACACAGAAUGGGGCUGGGCUCAAAAGCACCGUGGGAAAAAACCGUCACGGAGGCCAUUCUGUGGGAAAAGGGCUUACCAGCGAACCACGGACGGACAUGAUGGAUGGUAACUAGACUUGCUGUGGUAAACACCUCACAAUAGAUACAGAUUUCAAAGGUGGCACCUACCCCCCUCCCAUCUCCACCGUAAUGCACGGGUCUACUGUUUAACAAGGUUAUCAGGCCGACUAUGAAGGAGUUCCAGAAAAUGAAGAUGUAGGCCUGGCACUCUCCACACCUGUUUACCAAGUACUUAAAAGCCACAGCUCUAAAAAGUGAAAAAAAUCAUAUGUUACGAGGAAAUACCAAGAGCAGGAGGCCCAGGCUGUUGUACUUGAAGGUCUACCCUCCCUGUAAGUCUCAGCUUCACUGGACAUAAGGUAGUUGCUUAUCUGCUGUGUCAUGUGUGUGAAAUCUUCCCUCAAGCCUAUGCCAAAAUAUUUGUAAAUUCACUCCUUAGGCAAAGAGCUUAUGCUCGUUUUCAGUAAAUCAGUGUAAUUCAACUCCUUGGUGAGUUGAGCGAUUUGAACGAUUUCCACUUCAGACUCCAUCCAAAUGUGACCCGACAGUGAAGUGGUGCCUGCAUGAUAACCCUUUCAGGAGCUGAGCUGUCUGUUGAGUAUGUGUGCUUGCGGGUAUUCCUUUCUUUACGUUUAUAUAAAAUAUUUAUGUUUCUGUAUAUAUUGUUCUAAGAUGGGUUAUAUAUAAAUGUACCAUAUAUAAUAUAAACUUGUGUAUAUACAAGUCACGUAUGAGUGCUUAUACAGGAAUACAUAGGAAUUACAUAAUUAUACCCUUAUAGUAUAAUACUUAAAUAAUACAUGAUGAUUCUAUUGUAGAGAAACAUUACUACCAUAUAAUGAUAUUGCUAUAUCAAUAGAUUAACGUGCUACUCAAUAACUAAUAUCAAUUCAUAAUAAAUAAAUAUUAAUCCAUAACUGAUACAGCAAAGAACAAUCUAUUGGCUAUAGUAUAUGGUAAUUGUAUAUUACAUAGGACUAUAUUAAUAACAUCGUAGAUAAUAACUGAUUAAUUAUAUGUGCAUUAUAGAAAUAUAUUUUAUAUUAGCAAUAACAAUGAUGUCACAUCGAUAUAUAUGGUAUUUAUCUGUUAUGGAAGAUGCUUAAAAAAGAAUAUACUUUUGAUAUACUGUGUAUUUAUUACGUAUACAUUUAACAUAUCAAAUAUAUAUAUUCUAUACUAGAUGAAUAUGUAAGCAUAUAUUCUAUGAAUUAAAUGUGAUUUAUAUGUUAU